UUGGGCAAUGUUGCAGCAUGAUUGAUGGUUUGAUACAAAGGGAAGCGGUUCGGUGAGACAAACAAGAGUAAAAUCCAACAAUCACGAAUUUCCAACAGAGAAAGGUUUACGGCAUGAGGAGACAAACAAGAGUAAAUUCCAACAAUCAUGAAUUUCCAACAGAGAAAGGUUUACAGCAUGAGGAUAAGAAUAUCACAUCUCGCAUAUAAUUCCAUAUUUCCCUCAUUAAAUCUAAAACGAAGACCAACUAUUAAACCUUCAAUGACUCAUACCUACUUCUCAUCACCAGCCAUGUGGCUAAUUGA
rnacentral:lncRNA from 1 species